UGCGGCCUGAAGAUGCCUGAGGCCCGGACUCUCAGACCCCUAUUGCCCUUUGGUGCUGGAGGCCCAGCGGCAGCCUGAAGCCCAAGAGAGUGGAGCCUCGCGAAAUGAGGAACCUGGCACAAGGUUUGCUUGGAAGCAGGAACGACGGAGUGUGGCUACGUGCCCUAUUUGCCAUUAACGCUUUCUUGCAUGGCAGUGAGAGAUGAGGGCAAGGGAGGUGGCAUAAUGCUCCCGGCCGCUUGGGACUCGGAGAGACGGCAUUUAAUAAAUCACACGCGGUAUUUGCGAAACAGUGGUCGAGAUUCGUCUUCCCGGGUUCAUUGCGUCAUUAAUAGGCGGGAACAGUGCCCCUGUGUUGAGGCUGCAGAGGCCCUAAUUGGUUUUCCCAAGACAGAGGGGCAUAUGAGAUUGAACAAAUAUUUGUUGAAUGAAUGAACAAAGGGAACGCCUUUUAGGGAUGUUUCUGGGGGAAAGGCCUGAGGUUCUCCAGGAGGGUCUGCAGCUAGGGUCGGCCGUGGGGGCUCGCAGCCCGCGGGACCACCGGACCUGCAAGCGUCCCCCUGCCCCGCCCCCGCCUCGGCGCUCUGAGCAAUUGGACUCUGCCAGCUCUAACUCCGGCGGGACUCUGAAACUCAGGUGUUCUGGACUUGGAAGAUUUGUUGAAUUACUAUGAAGUCACAUCUAAAGUUUGAAAGAGAUCGGGUCUCACUAUUUUGCCCACGCUGGUCUUGAAC
rnacentral:lncRNA from 1 species